UUACCAACUUAAGCUCUUUGGGAGAAUAAAGACCACACUCCACAGUGGGUUAUAUCACUAAACAUAUAGCCCAUUUCUAUUCUGUGGCCUACAUU